CUCCAUUUUAAUUAUAUAAAAACAAACGAGACCCAAAGUUGGGGACCAAAAGAGAGCCUCUCUUUCUAGAGAGAGAAAGCUCCCCCCGGUUGUAUUUUAGUGAUGAUGUUCUGGUUCAACUCAGGCCAGUAAAGCCGCCUGUUAUGCUUGACGGUGGAGUUUUCUUCGUGUUAUGGUUCGAGUGGCCAUAGCUGAAGAUGGUUUUAGUGGGUUCUCCGGUAGUGGGUUUUACUGUCGCUGGGUUUCUAGCGCCGGUUUUGGCUUCUUGCUCCUUGCCGCCAUGUUGACUGCUACGCUGCCUCGAUGGAGUUUGUUUGCCUCUCUCUAGUCUAGAGAGAAUGAAAUUAACGGGUGUGAGAUCUGGGGUGGUGAGCUCCUGCUACGCUGACAGGUUUGCCACUGCCAAUGAAGUGUUUGGUGCACCGUGAAGGAGGUGGGUUGUUACGAACUUAGUGAUAGCGCGGUUGGUGCAGGUAGUCUACUAGCUUUCUGGUUGGUUGGUUCCUUGCAUCCAUCUCCGGCGACUGAACCUUUUCCGCCGGUGAUGCCUUGUGCGUGAGUUACUGGUAUGGAGUUGUAAGUAGGCAAGUCGUUUCGGCAAUGGUGGGUCUGUCUCAACUCAUACGCCGGUAUAUUGUUUGUUUUCUGGGUUGUUCAUGGUUCGGUGGAUAAUUGCCCACAGGGUUUCUGUUGCUCCGGCACCGGCGAAAUAGCUUCUUUGGUGACGUAACCUGGGCUCUAUCACUCACGUGGUGAUUGAUGGGAUCGGUGGACAACAGCUGUGUUUUUCCCGCCUGGGCUGCGCUGGUGCGUUGGAGAAUGGAUUGCAUAUAUUUACAUGAUUGAUGAGCUCAUAAAUUUCAGUUUAGCCACAAUGCGGCGGACCAUUUAUAAUUGAUUUUCUCAUGAUGAUUGAUCGUGUGAUCCUCAUGUGACUCGAUAUGAGGUUAGUUUUGAGCCAUCUCUGCCAAGAGUAAUUGAGGAGUCACUGCUAUGGGGAAUAGUGAUUCGAUGACUAGCCGAGUUAGAGACUGGGAGAUAAGCAGGAGGUUAGCUAUCGAUUUUCUUGUUACCCAUCCUAAUUAAUCGUAUUGCAACACUUGACACGGAGUGAAUGGCAUGUUGCCGUGGGGAUUGAAGCUUGUGAUCUAUCAAGGAAAGGAUUGGGAGAUGUGGUGAUUGCUCUCAUGUUAUUUUCUGGCUAUGUAUUAGUUUGCUGUUGUGGUGGCUAUCGGUUUUUGCUACAACUCCCAAGACUGUUGAUUAUGGUUAUUGAUUGUGCUAGUUUCAUGUAACUCUGUCGGGAUUUCUCGUGGGAUAGAUUUUUUUCCUCUGUCACGGCUUUAGUAAGUGGCUAGGAUGUCACGACUGUGAGAAGUGAGAUGCUUAUUGGAUUCUAUGUGUUUAUCUGCGGUAGAGACUGGGGGCAAGUGGGGGUGGUUAUCAUUUUUUGAUUGGUCUUGUGAGUUGUUGCUUGUUUUAUCUUGGUUAGGUUUUGUUGUUAAUAGUUUAUAUUUGCCCAUAUAUCGUUGCCAAGUUUUUACUUGGACAAAAUGGAUAUAUGGGUAAAUUAGGUUAUACGAUGUUAGUGUUGCUUAUAUAUUGCCCCUAGUCACUUUGCCUUCUUUACUGUUGGCAUAUAAGUAACCAAGGGCAAAAUAUAUCAGCAACACUCUUGUAUUGUUAAGUUGCUCCCCCUUAAUAAGGGGGUUUAGUCUUUCUUUUGUAUUUCUUGUUGUAUUACUUGGGGAAUGCCCUUUGUAAACAUAUAAAUUUUUGUCCUUAAUUUAUGACUUACCCACAAAGAAAUAAAAAUUACCCAUUUGUACUCGGUUUUUUCCCCAAA